GUCCUGGCCCUAAACCGAUGAAUGCUUGGUGUGGCGGGUAUCGAUCCCUGCCGUGCCGAAGCUAACGCAUUAAGCAUUCCGCCCUGGGGAGUACGGUCGCAAGGCUGAAACUCAAAAGGAAUUGACGGGGGCCCGCGACAAGCGGUGGAGCAUGUGGUUUAAUUCGACGCAACGCGAAGAACCUUACCCAGGCUUGAACAGCGAGUGACCACUUCCGAAAGGAAGCUUCCGCAAGGCACUCGUAGAGGUGCUGCAUGGCUGUCGU
rnacentral:rRNA from 1 species